AUGCACGCUGGCGGCGUGCCUCAUCCAUGCAAGUCGAGCGAACAGAUGAGGAGCUUGCUCCUCUGACGUUAGCGGCGGACGGGUGAGUAACACGUGGAUAACCUACCUAUAAGACUGGGAUAACUUCGGGAAACCGGAGCUAAUACCGGAUAAUAUAUUGAACCGCAUGGUUCAAUAGUGAAAGACGGUUUUGCUGUCACUUAUAGAUGGAUCCGCGCCGCAUUAGCUAGUUGGUAAGGUAACGGCUUACCAAGGCAACGAUGCGUAGCCGUCCUGAGAGGGUGAUCGGCCACACUGGAACUGAGACACGGUCCAGACUCCUACGGGAGGCAGCAGUAGGGAAUCUUCCGCAAUGGGCGAAAGCCUGACGGAGCAACGCCGCGUGAGUGAUGAAGGUCUUCGGAUCGUAAAACUCUGUUAUUAGGGAAGAACAAAUGUGUAAGUAACUAUGCACGUCUUGACGGUACCUAAUCAGAAAGCCACGGCUAACUACGUG
rnacentral:rRNA from 1 species